rnacentral:ribozyme from 1 species
GAAUGGAAACGCAUCGUCCAAAUUCGCACGUUUUUCAACUCCUUUUUUUUUUUUUUUUCAGAAAAAAAAACAAAAAAUGCGUUAUUUUU